rnacentral:hammerhead_ribozyme from 1 species
AUCCAGCUGACGAGUCCCGAACGGGACGAAAUGCGCAUCCUGGAU